GAUGAAGAACGCAGCGAAAUGCGAUAAGUAAUGUGAAUUGCAGAAUUCAGUGAAUCAUCGAAUCUUUGAACGCACCUUGCGCCUUUUGGUAUUCCGAAAGGCACACCUGUUUGAGCGUCAUGAAUACCUCAAUCUCCAUCUUUUCUUCGGAUUGAUGGGUGACUUGGAUGUUGAGCCCUGCUGGUAUGCUAUAUCAGCUGGCUUUAAACUUAUUAGCCGGCUCUGUACUGGAUCGGUUUGACUCGACGUGAUAAUAUUAUCGUUGAGGAUGCAUGUCUCAUGCAGCCGGAAAGUAUCAAAGCAGCUUCUAGCUUGGCUUUAGUGCACUUUUACAUUUUAGACCUCAGAUCAGGUGGGACUACCCGCUGAACUUAAGCAUAUCAAUAAGCGGAGGA
rnacentral:misc_RNA from 1 species